AAAGGAAUUCAAACCAAUCUCUAGUAGAACCUCCUACUAGAAUAAAAGGUUGAGUUAUAUGGUAAACACAUAAAUUCAGAGCAUAGGUUUAAGUGCAGUCAAGUAGGACCAAAAUAAAAUACAUCACCCGCAGGUGAGUCCUACAUGCAGAACGUCUGUCAGAAUGCCGAAAAAGAACCCGAAAGCCACCAACCGCUAACUAAAACCUGGAGGGGCGCAAAACAAAGAUGAGUGGGUCAGUAAAACCAAAGAUUUUCCAAAACAUUUCAUUUAAAACAUUUCUAACCCCUCACCGUAAAACCUGUAUAGUUUCCCAGAAAAAUAGUAUAUAAACAUAUAUAUACACAUAUCAUCAAAACUCAGCUCAUAUCCAUCAACAUAACAUCUCAGAAAUAAUGUGUCACGCCAUGCCAAAUAUAAUCAGAAUGCAUCAAUAUCAAUUAGGUGAAAUAAUAAAUCAACCGGAGACCCUACAAUAGUCCUGUACGGCUGAUUCUAAAGCUCAACAUCCCACUCAGCCGGAGUCACCACAGUGACCUAAACGACCCUGCCGGAGUCACCAACUAUAACCUAUACGACACUACACUGCACAUCACUCGGAACUACGUAAAGUAAUAUGUACGAUGAAAGGUGUAUAAAUACGCUCUAGUGCUUCUCUCAUCAAUCAUCAGCGCGCAUAACUAAAGUCACCCACUAGUCGAAAUCACAUCUAGUGAUCUAUACGACU
rnacentral:lncRNA from 1 species